UAUAGGGUUGAAGUAUUAAUGUACGUCUUACUUACACUAAGGAGGUUUCUAAUUAGAACGGCUCU
rnacentral:tRNA from 1 species